AUUAUUGAAAUGCUUCAUAUGGGAAAAAUUCCAAAGGAAAUCAUUGCAUGAUUUGGCUACAAGAAGCCAAGGGAUUCAUGGAGGAAUUUACUCCUGACCGAGCCAAACAUAAAAAGCAGUCUGAUUGCAAGAGGAAUGAUAAAUUUGUCUUUGAAUUGGAGGAAAAGAUUGACCAGAAUCCAGGGUGGAUCAUGGCUGAUUUGGCAAAAGUAAUGGGUAUGAAGAGGUCAACAGUCAGUCUGGCAGUGCAGAAGGAUUUAGCGUACAAAACUUUUGUCUUCAGGAAGCAACAACUGUUGACCGAAAAGAACAAGAUUGAUUGGAAAAUGGCUGCCAUAUAGUUCUAUUUUCUGAUAGUGAUACCGCUGAUAGUGCUGG
rnacentral:lncRNA from 1 species